UACGUAGGUGGCAAGCGUUGUCCGGAAUUACUGGGCGUAAAGGAUGCGUAGGCGGAUACUUAAGUGGGAUGUGAAAUCCUGGGGCUUAACCCCAGAACUGCAUUCCAAACUGGGUGUCUAGAGUGCAGGAGAGGAAAGUGGAAUUCCCAGUGUAGCGGUGAAAUGCGUAGAGAUUGGGAGGAACACCAGUGGCGAAGGCGACUUUCUGGACUGUAACUGACGCUGAGGCAUGAAAGUGUGGGGAGCAAACAGG
rnacentral:rRNA from 1 species